rnacentral:tRNA from 1 species
CUCUCCGUAGCUCAGCUGGUAGAGCAGCUGACUCUUAAUCAGCGGGUCGCAGGUUCGAAUCCUGUCGGGGAGA